rnacentral:lncRNA from 1 species
GCCAGAAGCCUAGAUUAUGCUUGGAAGAUGAUAAAUGAACACAACCUCCUUACAGUAUUAGGGGGCUGCUGCCCAAAGCUUACUAAUCAUCACACACAUCUUGGUCAAGACCAGUAUUCCUUCUCCCUAAAGUCAUUCGCGGGUUCAGAAUUUGUUUGAAAUCGACUUUACUGGGGGUACAAUUUACAUACGAUAAAGUGCACCCAUUUGUUUCUUUUAAGACUUUACCUCUCCCCCUACAUAUUUCAUAAGCUAAGGUAACACUGACACAUGUCACUAGCACUGACUCGUGAGUUAUUGCUAAUGCCAUCAAGGUCAGGGAUUCAAACAGCACAGUUGAGCUGCCAUCUUAUUUGGGAGGUUGAGCUGCAGGAAGAGACAAACAUGACCAAAUCCAUUUCUGCUGAGAGAAAAACAAUUCAGUGCAUCAGUGAUAUACCUGAAAGCAAAUUGGAAUGUGACUACUCAAGGACGUCCAAGUUACUCAGAAUGGCAUCUUCCAGUUAAUAAGUUUAUUAGCUGAGCUAGCAGAUAUAUUUACAGCUAACCCUUUUAUCAUAUAUGUGGGUCGCCCAUUUCUAAAACCCUACAUUAUACUACUCAGCAUUAAAACUACCCAGAUAAGGAUUUCCUCUUAGUUGGCUAAUCCAAAAUCAUCCUUAUGAAUACCAAUUUUCAUUGUAUUAUGUAUCAAUCAUCAUUGUACAGUAUUUUUGGUUUUGAUUAGUCUGAUGCCUAGUUUGCUGGAUCGUUCCCCUCUGUAUUGGAAGUUAAUGCCCCUGAUGAUCUUUAUCUACAGAAUAGCUUUAAGGUGGAGAGGGGUAACUAUUAAUUAGGUACAUCCUGUACACAAAGUAGAAAGGGGCUUUGCCCUUUGCCAAUUCACAGCUAGAAUUAAUGCUAACUUCCUGAGAGAUAUUAAAAAAACAUAUGUACAUAAUAAGAUUAUUUCAAUGUAAGCUUCUAGCAAAAACUUGUCACUGAGUCUACUUUUGUAAGGAAGAAACUUUGAUUUCUGAAAAUAUGAUAUCUCAAAAUGGGCUUCUUGCCCUAAUAAAAGGUGUCUGUUACUUCUGUGGGGUGAGACUUUGGGGGAUUUCCACUUAUAUUUUUUGGAAUUAAUUCAAUGAGUAUAUAUUGCUUUUGAAAAAAGAUAAAAAUAUAAUUUUUAAUUAAAAGGACAGGAAAACUACCUUAUUGUACCUAUUGUAAAAAAAUUAAAUGUACUGUACAAUGCCCUUUGUGUUAAUUGUGCAUUAUUAAAUUACUUUCAAAUACAUGCAGUUGUUUUCAUAGGUACCUGAUUAUCAUGAUUUUGACAGUGUUUUCCAGUCUCUUUUGCCAUCAGAUAUAAUUAACUUUGUAUUUAAUCAAUCCAUGAUUAUUGGUUUUUACAAAUAUCAAUAAAAAUCAAUGCAAGGC